GGAUGGGCGCGAGAAGGCAGCUUGCGAAGGAGCGGGCUGAGGGCGCAGUGGGGACGAAGCGGCUGCUGCGGGGCCGCGCGCGCGGGUUUGGCGGGAACGGAAGGAGCCGAAGCAGGGCCGGAGGCUUGUGCGUCAAGACGCGCGUUCCGCGUUCUCUGAACGAGAAUUGAGAGGAACUCGUGGCAGUAUGCGCCGGAGCGGCUGCGAAUUCGGGCAGCCCGGAACUGGGGGCUGCUGUAAAAGUCUGCCAAUGGCCUGUUGAAACGGGGGGGGGGGGUCGAAGCACGCGGAAAGUAUGUAGAGAUGCCGCCGAAAGCAGCCUCCCCACAUAGUCAGUCAUCCCUUCCUGGUUUAAAACAACAACAUUUAUUGUGGGUGCGGAUGCGCACUAUCAAUUUAGUCUCAAGCUGGCACGCAUGUGCUGGUGGUGUUGAGACUCAUAUUCUGAUGGUAGUUGGUGUGGGAACAGGCAAGGAAGCUGUGCAAUAGGGAAGCCUUGUUGGCUGCACGUGCAAGGUGACUGCAAUGUGUGCUCAGGCUUUUACUGUGUGGCAUAUGUGUACAGGAGUCCAGUGUGUCAAACCAGGGUGAGAUCUAUAUUUUCUCCAUGGAAAUCUGCAUCCUCAGGGUGAGUUUCCCAACCCACAGCCUUAUCAUGCGGUGUAAUCUGCUACCUGAGUUGUAACCAUCAGGUAGUGGGUUUCGCAGCCUGCAAAUGGCACUUCUGGCAGGACCAGGGGAACUCGCAUGGUGAGUUGUAUUGAACAAUUGGUUCAGCAAUGGUACUUCUGCAAGAGGAUGGUGAUCCCCAUGGCAAAUAUAGCAUCUAAACAUACCUCUGACUGCCUUCUAGAAAUCUGGGGAACUAGGAAGAUGGGUAAAAAUUCACCACGUGGCCAUACAUCCUAGGCUUCUGUCAUGCCAUGGUUUCAUGUGCACUGCUUCAUGUUUACAAGAAGCAACCAUGUGACCACCCAGUGUACAGGCUAAACUGCAAGAACCUAACCUAGGCAAGACUCUCAGCCGAGGCACUGCUGUGAUCUGUGGAAGAAUCUACAAGAGGCAAGAAAGGAUGAAGGCUAGGGGAGGAUGGAAAGACGGUCAAAAUAACUUAUUGAAACAAACUUCUAUAAUAUUAGUGGUCUGGAAAUAUAUAAUCAGCUUUGUAUAUCUCUAACCCCUCUGCUAAUAAUGCUGUCUCACACAAACAUUUUUUAAUCCAUUGGAGAUGCCCUGCUCAUAUUCUCAUCAGUAAAGGAAGUAAGAACUAAUGUGGACAGCAGCAAAGCCUUUUCAGCAGUUGCUCAGCCUAGCCCACUGGGCAAGGUCAUUGUGAGCUCUGAGCUCUUUGAAAGAAGGUUGGGAUAAACAUUUAGUACAUAAAUAUAAAACAUACUCUUUGUUGAGUCAUUUAUACACAACUUGUCUUCCGCCUUAGGACAGCAAAGUGAGGCAUUCCCCCCCCCACACACACACACAUGUUUCACAGCCUUUGAAAGCGUUGGCAUAGGUUGCUGUGAUUUUAUGCUCUGGUUGUUAUUUUGUUUUAUGACUGCUGUAAUUUUAUUAUGAUUGUGCUUUAUUGCCUUCCAGUGACGAAUAUUAUGUUACUUCAUUGGUCUUACGUUGUAAGCUAUCCUGAGCCUAAAGGGAUACGAUAGGGUAUUAAAUUUUUAAAGAAAAGCAAUAAGGCAGAAGGCCUGAGCUAUGGCUGGUCUUGCACUGUGCUGGUCAAAUCAAGAACUUGGAAGGAAUAGAUGGAUAAGGGGAAAACAGCCAGACAUGUGUAUGUAAAAAACAAAUCAAAAACCCUUUUACUAUUAAUAAAUUGCUAGUGUCACACAUGACACUUUGCAUGGCAACAUACACAGUCCCUCCCUUACAAUCUAAUUUUAUACUUUAAAAAGACAAAAAUGGGGAGAGAAAUGUAAACAGAAGAAGAGUUCUCAAUGGAUCUUUUGCACUCAGGUUUUCAGGGUUGGAUCCAGAGAAGUAUAAGGGAAACUCUGCUUGUAUAAAGGGCCUCCAUGGUAUCUCCUUCCUACUGCAGCAUUCUGUGACACUGCCCCAAGUUGCUCCUGAUAAUACCCUCUGGGAUAGCAUGGAAUUGAAGCACAGGGAGCUGAAGAAGGAUGGGAAUUGGCUGCCUUGACCCAGACACAGCUGCUAGCUUUGGGAGCUGUAUCAGAAGUGAGGAACUGGGACCUUAAACAUAUGAAUCUGCAUUGCUUGCAAUUUGUUCCACCUCUGCACAAAACUAGCAAUUUCAUAACAGAUCUAAAGCUCUGUGGAUGCUCUGCUACCCAAGGUACAUGCAGACUCUUCAACCAGGAAGGCCCCAUGCCAAUUCUCCAAAAGGAGGAGCACUAGUGUAUGUGAGCCUCUGUUGGCUUUUGGAUUUACUUGGAGCAUAAACAAGUGCGGCCCUUGUAUGAAGGAUAGAAGGUGGGAAAAUUGUGUUCUGAAAGGGUCACUUCACACAUGCAAAACAGAAGCUUGGUAGAUGCUUUGAACAACCCAACUUUGCAGAGGCUGCUCUAUACAGCCUGUUGUUUCUGUGAAACCACUUUUUGUGGAAUUCUGACAAUAUUAUUUGCUCCUGUGGAAGGAAGGGCAGGAUAUACAUGAAUAAAGCAAAAAUAUUCAUUGCAUCUCUAUAACCCCUCUAUUUUGAAGUUUUGAAUACUGUAUUACCACUGCUGCCUGUCAAGCUGUUUCAGAUAAAGUCAUGCUGUGGUGACAAGCCUUCACACUGUUGUGUUACAUCACAGUUUCUAUGUGUGAACUGAGCCUCAGGCCAUGAGAAAAAGGAGGAAGGAACGGAAACUGAUGUUUGUUUUAAUUUCAGACUAAUUGUGGUUAGUUUGUUUCUGGGAUUUGGUUGCCAUGUUUGGGAGAUCAACUUUUUUUGUUCCUAACUCAGCACCCUCUGCCAAGUUCCCAGUAUGCAUCUGUCAAGGAAAUAAAACCAGGUCCUGCUCCUA